GUGUCAAUGAUGAGAACUCAUAUUGUCUUGAAGAGAGAUGAUGAUUCAAAGAAAAAAAAUCAAUAGUACAAAGUCUUCUGUAAAGUCUC